rnacentral:rRNA from 1 species
UGGGGAAUUUUCCGCAAUGGGCGCAAGCCUGACGGAGCAAUACCGCGUGAGGGAGGAAGGCUUUUGGGUUGUAAACCUCUUUUCUCAAGGAAGAACAAAAUGACGGUACUUGAGGAAUCAGCAUCGGCUAACUCCGUGCCAGCAGCCGCGGUAAUACGAAGGGGGCUAGCGUUGUUCGGAAUUACUGGGCGUAAAGCGCGCGUAGGCGGGUCAUUAAGUCAGGGGUGAAAUCCCGGGGCUCAACCUCGGAAUUGCCUCUGAUACUGGUGACCUCGAGUCCGAGGGAGGUGAGUGGAACUCCGAGUGUAGAGGUGAAAUUCGUAGAUAUUCGGAAGAACACCAGUGGCGAAGGCGGCUCACUGGCUCGGUACUGACGCUGAGGUGCGAAAGCGUGGGGAGCAAACAGGAUUAGAUACCCGCGUAGUCC